UACCCACGCAAUGGGAGUGCGAAUCUCGAAAGCCUGUCUCAGUUCGGACUGGAGUCUGCAACCCGACUCCACGAAGCUGGAUUCGCUAGUAAUCGCGCAUCAGCCAUGGCGCGGUGAAUACGUUCCCGGGCCUUGUACACACCGCCCGUCAAGCCAUGGAAGCCGGGAGUGCCUGAAGUAUGCAACCGCAAGGAGCGUCCUAAGGUAAAACCGGUGACUGGGGCUAAGUCGUAACAAGGUAGC
rnacentral:rRNA from 1 species